rfam:Oscillatoria acuminata PCC 6304, complete genome.
AGGAGCCGGAUGAGGUGAAAGUCUCAUGUCCGGUUCUGAAUGGGAGGGGAUGGAGGUGACUCCAUUCUCGACCCCUAAU